rnacentral:rRNA from 1 species
AUACGGAGGGUGCAAGCGUUGUUCGGAAUUACUGGGCGUAAAGCGCGCGUAGGCGGUCUGUUAUGUCAGAUGUGAAAGUCCUCGGCUCAACCGGGGAAGUGCAUUUGGAACUGGCAGACUUGAGUACUGGAGGGGGUGGUGGAAUUCCCGGUGUAGAGGUGAAAUUCGUAGAUAUCGGGAGGAAUACCGGUGGCGAAGGCGACCACCUGGCCAGAUACUGACGCUGAGGUGCGAAAGCGUGGGGAGCAAACAGGAUUAGAAACCCCUGUAGUCC